GGCUGGCCCCCCAGACCCUUCCUCAGCUGAACGUCUCAGCAAGACCAGCCGUGUCACGUUCGGGUCAACAAAUUAAGAAGAAGUUGAAAGCCAAGGUGGAGGAGGCUCGGACCCCACGCUUCAGUCUAGGACUGUGUUCAUUUAAAGCAGGUGACGCUGAUGCCACCGGUCCAGGGACCACGUGCGGAAACGACAGCGCCCCCCACACAGUAGGUGCUCAGCGACCACUUCAAAGGCGGGGGAGGGGACUGUAGUUCAUGCUGUGUGGC
rnacentral:lncRNA from 1 species